GUAAUCAUAUGCUNGUNUCAAAGANUAAGCCAUGCAAGUCUCAGUAUGAGCCGAAUUAAGGUGAAACCGCGAAUGGCUCAAUAUAUCAGUUAUGGUUCCUUAGAUCGUACACAGUUACUUGGAUAACUGUGGCAAUUCUAGAGCUAAUACAUGCAAACGAAGUCCCGACCUGUACCACAGGGAGGGAUGCUUUUAUUAGAUCAAAAACCAAUCGGCGGCGGGGCGACCCGUUCGCCGCUCUCGGAGAUGACUCUAGAUAACUUUGAGCCGAUCGCACGGUCUAGCACCGGCGACGCAUCUUUCAAAUGUCUGCCUUAUCAACUGUCGAUGGUAGUUUAUGCGACUACCAUGGUUGUCACGGGUAACGGGGAAUCAGGGUUCGAUUCCGGAGAGGGAGCCUGAGAAACGGCUACCACAUCCACGGAAGGCAGCAGGCGCGCAAAUUACCCACUCCCGGCACGGGGAGGUAGUGACGAAAAAUAACGAUACGGGACUCGUCCGAGGCCUCGUGAUCGGAAUGAUUACACUUUAAAUCCUUUAACGAGGAUCCAUUGGAGGGCAAGUCUGGUGCCAGCAGCCGCGGUAAUUCCAGCUCCAAUAGCAUAUACUAAAGUUGUUGCGGUUAAAAAGCUCGUAGUUGAAAUUGUGUCUUGCGGUGUCGGUCUACCGACUGCGGUACGACAGGCACGUCUGCGGGGCUUCUCGCCGGUGCGUCCACCGCCAGCACGUUGCGGUCGUCCCUCACGGGGCGGCCGCUCGUCGAGGCGGGCCGUCGCGGCUGUUUACUUUGAACAAAUUAGAGUGCUCAAAGCGGGCUAAGUUUUGCCUGAAUAUUGUACGCAUGGAAUAAUAGAAUAGGACCUCGGUUCUGUUUUGUUGGCUUUCUGAUACCAGAGGUAAUGAUUAAUAGGGACAACUGGGGGCAUUCGUAUUGCGACGUUAGAGGUGAAAUUCUUGGAUCGUCGCAAGACGGACUAAAGCGAAAGCAUUUGCCAAANGUGUUUUCAUUAAUCAAGAACGAAAGUUAGAGGUUCGAAGGCGAUUAGAUACCGCUGUAGUUCUAACCAUAAAUGAUGCCAGCCAGCGAUCCGCCGAUGUUUCAAAAAUUUAACACGGUGGGCAGCUCCCGGGAAACCAAAGCUUUCGGGCUCCGGGGGGAGUAUGGUUGCAAAGCUGAAACUUAAAGGAAUUGACGGAAGGGCACCACCAGGAGUGGAGCCUGCGGCUUAAUUCGACUCAACACGGGAAAACUCACCAGGCCCGGACACUGGAAGGAUUGACGGAUUAACAGCUCUUUCUCGAUUCGGUGGGUGGUGGUGCAUGGCCGCUCUUAGUUGGUGGAGCGAUUUGUCAGGUUAAUUCCGGUAACGAACGUAACUCACCGGCGGUAUAUAUAGCCGCACGAGAUUGAGCAAUAGCAGGUCUGUGAUGCCCUUAGAUGUCCUGGGCCGCACGCGCGCUACACUGAAGGGAUCAGCGUGUCCUCCUUGGCCUAACGGCCCGGGUAACCCGAUGAAACCCCUUCGUGAUAGGGAUUGGGGUUUGAAAUUCUCCCCCAUGAACGAGGAAUUCCUAGUAAAAGCGAGUCACCAGCUCGCGUUGAUUGCGUCCCUGCCCUUUGUACACACCGCCCGUCGCUACUACCGAUGGAUGAUUUGGUGAGGUCUUCGGACUGGCGCGCGGACCGCCCUUCACGGGGCAUCCGACGCGUCGGAAAGUUUGACCGAAUUUGAUCAUUAGAGGAAGUAAAAGUCGUAAC
rnacentral:rRNA from 1 species